UACGGUAGGGCUAGCGUGUCCGGAUUAUUGGCGUAAGAGCGUGUAGGCGGCCAGGUAGGUCCGUUGUGAAACUCGGAGGCUCAACCUCGAGACGUCGGCGGAAACCCUCUGGCUAGAGUCCGGAAGAGGAGAGUGGAAUUCCUGGUGUAGCGGUGAAAUGCGCAGAUAUCAGGAAGAACACCCGUGGCGAAGGCGGCUCUCUGGGACGGUACUGACGCUGAGACGCGAAAGCGUGGGGAGCAAACAGG
rnacentral:rRNA from 1 species